rnacentral:rRNA from 1 species
UACGGAAGGGGCAAGCGUUGUUCGGAAUCAUUGGGCGUAAAGGGCGCGUAGGUGGUUCUGUAUGUCUACCGUGAAAGCGUACGGCUCAACCGUAUUUUGUCGGUGGAAACUGCAGGACUUGAGGCUGGGAGGGGCUGGUGGAAUUCCCUGUGUAGCGGUGAAAUGCGUAGAGGAUGGGGGAGAACACUCGUGGCGAAGGGCGGCCAGCCUAGACCAGUUCUGACACUGAGGCGCGACAGCGUGGGGAGCAAACAGG